rfam:Neotoma lepida isolate 417 scaffold_16530, whole genome shotgun sequence.
AAACAGGCUUCUUUUGAAACCACCAAUGUAUUCAUUAGUGUUUAG